UUGCAGAGGAAUUGCUUAAUAUAGUAACUUUGUUCCUGCAACAUACCUGAUACAUGUAGUCAGUUAACUUUAAUGGUGACAUUUGCUUUUAUUGGGUUGUAGUUUUACUCACGCCAAAAAUCCAAGACAGUUAAAUAAAUGUUGGAUUCUAUUUCUUUCUGUUUAUUACCAGCAGCGUUCUCCAGUUAAGUUUUUAGGUUAGGUCACCUAAUAAAUUGUUCACCUUUACAAAUCUGGAGGUGUUAGGGAGCCGAUUCAUUCUGACUUCAGGCCGGUGACACCGCUCAAGUACAAGCUGAGGGCAAAACUGGGGCUCCCUAAUGCGCAGCUCCCUGGAAGUCAGGCAGAGACCCGGGCGGGCGCUGGGAGGGGAGGGGCGGCGGGCGAAGAACCUGGCUCCUGGGGGCGGUGAGGCGGUGGCGUGGGCCGGAUAAUCCUGGCUGACGGGCACGCAGCGCCGUGACUGGGGCCGCCCGACGUCAGAGCUCGGGGCCGUUCGUCCUGGGUGGCUGGGGCCGGGAGCUCCGCCNNNNNNNNNNNNNNNNNNNNNNNNNNNNNNNNNNNNNNNNNNNNNNNNNNGGCCCCGGCGCCCUUCGCCUCCGCCUGCUUCGAGGUGGCGUCGCCGCCCGCCGAGGAGUCGCCGCUGCGCGUGGGGCGGGAGAGCGGCGAGGUGACGCUGGCCGCGGCGCUGGACCGGGAGGCGGCGGCCGCCUGGCAGCUCGUCGUGCGUGUCCAGGAGCACUCAGGAAAGGAUUGGUACUUGGUGCACUUGUCACUUACUGUGACAGAUGUGAACGACAAUGUACCUGAAUGGGCCAUGGAGCCCUUCCCAUUCUUGGCAGUGGUUUCCCCUGAAGCUAUGGGAGGUACUGAAGUAUACAAGCUGCUCACUGUGGAUGCAGAUGAAGGGAUCCAUGGAGCUGUAGAAUAUUUUCUCUUGGAAGGUAAAUUUUAACACUGUCAUACCCUGUGUAUUAGAUUUCACCACUCUGAUUUUUUUUUGUCUUUCAUCCUCAGUUUCAUUGGUGAAAGAUACUCUGUUCCUCUUGCAAAAGAUUGAUGAGCCUUCAGGUCUGUAUGUGAGAAUAGACAACUCUUAUUAAGGGUACAGACAGAUUUGACAGAUUUGAAGUGUGUUCUCCCUUCGAAGUUGGGUUUGUGCCCAGGUUAUCUCUUGGGGGAUGAUGGGGACUGGAGCAGUCAGUACUCCUCAGGGCUUUGGCAAGGGGGUGGCAAUGGCAGCAGUAGUCAGUACCUCUCUGCUGGGCUGCCUGUUUAUGAAAUAGGGCAGUAUAUGGAGCACAGUUUGUUGGGUGGAGAGGGUUAAUAUUACUUCUCCCUUGUGGAAGUCAUGCUUCUGGUUCAUUUCUAACAACUUUUUAAGGGUCUGGGGUUGUGCCUUAGCUUUGCAAAGCUAGUACAGACUCAUUAAUAAUUUUCUUUCUGGAGGUCUUAAAUUUCAGUAAUAGUUCAAAACUGUCUAGGCAGAAGAGGAGUAGCAAUACUGUUCCAAAGGUGAAUUUGUUCCUCUUGGCCAGGACUCUAGCAGGAUAUUUUCUGGUAAAGGAUAUUUAGGGUCAAAUAACAUUGAAGUAUUGGAGGAUAAAGAAGAGUAAGAAUUGUCUAGAAAAGUAAAAUGCAACUUAGAAAUGUAAUCAUGGAUGUAAUUACUGAUUUCUAAGUUCUAAACAACUUUUGAAUAUUUCUGUGCAUGCUGAUUCUAAGCCAAAACCAACUUGGGAUUUGAUACCAUAUUUUCCUAUUAAUUUUAAUCAAGUAAGAAUGUUCUUGCUGACAACAAUUUGUGGAACUGUUCUUUUUAGGUGGUGAAGACAGAUUUGAAGUUGACAGAGACACUGGCUGGAUUAAAACAGCAGGUUUGCCAUUGGUGAGGGACAAGGAGUAUUUGCUGACUGUACUAGCAGCAGAUAAACUUGGAAGCAGAAGGUCUCCAG
rnacentral:lncRNA from 1 species